rnacentral:rRNA from 1 species
AACGAACGCUGGCGGCAGGCUUAACACAUGCAAGUCGAGCGCCCCGCAAGGGGAGCGGCAGACGGGUGAGUAACGCGUGGGAAUCUACCCAUCUCUACGGAAUAACGCAUGGAAACGUGUGCUAAUACCGUAUACGUCCUUCGGGAGAAAGAUUUAUCGGAGAUGGAUGAGCCCGCGUUGGAUUAGCUAGUUGGUGGGGUAAAGGCCUACCAAGGCGACGAUCCAUAGCUGGUCUGAGAGGAUGAUCAGCCACACUGGGACUGAGACACGGCCCAGACUCCUACGGGAGGCAGCAGUGGGGAAUAUUGGACAAUGGGCGCAAGCCUGAUCCAGCCAUGCCGCGUGAGUGAUGAGGGCCCUAGGGUUGUAAAGCUCUUUCACCGGUGAAGAUAAUGACGGUAACCGGAGAAGAAGCCCCGGCUAACCUCGUGCCAGCAGCCGCCGUAAUAC